rnacentral:rRNA from 1 species
UCUCCUGGAAAACGGGUGGUAAUGCCGGAUGCUCCAUCACACCGCAUGGUGUGUUGGGAAAGCCUUUGCGGCAUGGGAUGGGGUCGCGUCCUAUCAGCUUGAUGGCGGGGUAACGGCCCACCAUGGCUUCGACGGGUAGCCGGCCUGAGAGGGCGACCGGCCACAUUGGGACUGAGAUACGGCCCAGACUCCUACGGGAGGCAGCAGUGGGGAAUAUUGCACAAUGGGCGCAAGCCUGAUGCAGCGACGCCGCGUGAGGGAUGGAGGCCUUCGGGUUGUAAACCUCUUUUGUUAGGGAGCAAGGCAUUUUGUGUUGAGUGUACCUUUCGAAUAAGCACCGGCUAACUACGUGCCAGCAGCCGCGGUAAUACGUAGGGUGCAAGCGUUAUCCGGAAUUAUUGGGCGUAAAGGGCUCGUAGGCGGUUCGUCGCGUCCGGUGUGAAAGUCCAUCGCUUAACGGUGGAUCCGCGCCGGGUACGGGCGGGCUUGAGUGCGGUAGGGGAGACUGGAAUUCCCGGUGUAACGGUGGAAUGUGUAGAUAUCGGGAAGAACACCA